rnacentral:rRNA from 1 species
AUUGAACGCUGGCGGAAUGCUUUACACAUGCAAGUCGAACGGCAGCACGGGUGCUCGCACCUGGUGGCGAGUGGCGAACGGGUGAGUAAUACAUCGGAACGUACCCAGUCGUGGGGGAUAACGUAGCGAAAGUUACGCUAAUACCGCAUACGUCCUGAGGGAGAAAGCGGGGGACCGUAAGGCCUCGCGCGAUUGGAGCGGCCGAUGGCGGAUUAGCUAGUUGGUGGGGUAAAGGCCUACCAAGGCGACGAUCCGUAGCGGGUCUGAGAGGACGGCCCGCCACACUGGAACUGAGACACGGUCCAGACUCCUACGGGAGGCAGCAGUGGGGAAUUUUGGACAAUGGGCGAAAGCCUGAUCCAGCCAUUCCGCGAGAGUGAAGAAGGCCUUCGGGUUGUAAAGCUCUUUCGGCAGGGAAGAAACGGCUUGGGAUAAUACCCCGGGCUAAUGACGGUACCUGAAGAAGAAGCACCGGCUAACUACGUGCCAGCCGCCGCGGUAA